rnacentral:pre_miRNA from 1 species
AUUGACCAUUCCUUCAGUUUUCUCGUGAUCCGCCAAUCUUCCAUGGACGAAUCACAGUCAACUGUUGGCCUGGUCCAU